AUUGAACGCUGGCGGCAGGCCUAACACAUGCAAGUCGCACGAGUGGCGGACGGGUGAGUAAUGUCUGGGAAACUGCCUGAUGGAGGGGGAUAACUACUGGAAACGGUAGCUAAUACCGCAUACCAUCAGAUGUUCCCAGAUGGGAUUAGCUAGUAGGUGGGGUAACGGCUCACCUAGGCGACGAUCCCUAGCUGGGCUGAGAGGAUGACCAGCCACACUGGAACUGAGACACGGUCCAUACUCCUACGGGAGGCAGCAGUGGUGAAUAUUGCACACUGGGCGCAAGCCUGAUGCAGCCAUGCCGCGUGUAUGAAGAAGGCCGUCGGGUUGUAAAGUACUUUCAGCGGGGAGGCGUUACCCGCAGAAGAAGCACCGGCUAACUCCGUGCCAGCAGCCGCGGUAAUUC
rnacentral:rRNA from 1 species